AUGCUUGCUCAGGUUACUCUGCAGUUGCAACCGAUGUUCAAGCGGUCCGUCACGUUCUUGGAGCGCGACGACUCGGACUUGGCAGCACAGGUGGCCGUGUGGGGCCAUCUGCACGAGUUCGGCGACAUGACAUGGCUGCCACGCCAGGGGAAGGUCAUCUACCGCGAGGAUGACCGUGUCGAUGUCUCGUCGCCCGGCGAUGGCCUCAACGACUACCUCGGCUUCCGCUCCUUCCCGACGCUGGGGCUCAUCAUCGCAAGAGUCGCGGAGGAGCAUGUGGAGGAAAGCAACGACAUGGCACGGUGCCUAGCCGCAGGGGUGCUGCCUGCAUCAUUCCCCAUGCAGGCGUAUGGCUUCACGAACGACGGUUCCUCCUUCACGGGAUACCCGGUGGUCGGGUACCAGCACCGCAUCCAGGCGUCCGGCUCAUGCAUCGAUGCCAAGGACAACCUGCUCCGCUCCUCAUGCCCAUGGGACCCAUGCGUCCGAAGCCUCUUCUUCUACAACACUGGCUUCAGCGUCACGCUCUCCAAAGCCCCAGCGUUGGUCGCCGACAUGCAACGACUCCGCGACCUGAACCCGCGCGCCCUAUGCAGCCUCGACGCGAAGAUGGGCAUGCUCAUCCGCUACGUUGGGGCCUCCUCCGCCUACCUCGGCAAGACGGAGGACUCGGUCAACUUUGACUUCACCUACUACCGGAGCUACACCCAAGGCAGGCCGCGUGCUCACUCUGAUGUGAUCGACGAGCUCGAACAAAUGGCUUUGCGCAAGUAUGGCGCAGUCCCGCAAUGGGGCAAGAACCGCAACUUCGCCUUCGACGGCGCCAUCGCCAAGUACGCAAAGGCCGGCGAGUUCCUCAAAGUGAAGGAGAGGUACGACCCAGACGGGGUCUUCUCUAGCGAGUGGAGCGACCACGUGCUCGGCAUUGAUGGUAGCCCCAACAUAGUCCAAAAGGGUUGCGCCAUCGAAGGGCUUUGCAUAUGCUCUCACGACUCGCACUGCGCGCCAGAACAAGGCUAUUACUGUCGGCCUGGAAAGGUGUACACGGAGGCAAGGGUAUGCUCCUUCCGACCCACCUCACACCGCGACCACAACGACGAAAUAUGA
rnacentral:rRNA from 1 species